GAUGAACGCUGGCGGCGUGCCUAAUACAUGCAAGUCGAGCGAACAGACGAGGAGCUUGCUCCUCUGACGUUAGCGGCGGACGGGUGAGUAACACGUGGAUAACCUACCUAUAAGACUGGGAUAACUUCGGGAAACCGGAGCUAAUACCGGAUAACAUGUUGAACCGCAUGGUUCAACAGUGAAAGACGGUCUUGCUGUCACUUAUAGAUGGAUCCGCGCCGCAUUAGCUAGUUGGUAAGGUAACGGCUUACCAAGGCAACGAUGCGUAGCCGACCUGAGAGGGUGAUCGGCCACACUGGAACUGAGACACGGUCCAGACUCCUACGGGAGGCAGCAGUAGGGAAUCUUCCGCAAUGGGCGAAAGCCUGACGGAGCAACGCCGCGUGAGUGAAGAAGGUCUUCGGAUCGUAAAACUCUGGUAUUAGGGAAGAACAAAUGUGUAAGUAACUAUGCACGUCUUGACGGUACCUAAUCAGAAAGCCACGGCUAACUACGUG
rnacentral:rRNA from 1 species